rnacentral:rRNA from 1 species
GGGAAACUCACCCGGCCCGGACACCGUAAGGAUUGACAGAUUGAGAGCUCUUUCUUGAUUCGGUGGGUGGUGGUGCAUGGCCGUUCUUAGUUGGUGGAGCGAUUUGUCUGGUUAAUUCCGAUAACGAACGAGACUCUAGCCUAUUAAAUAGUUCGCCGGUUCGGUAUUCGCCGGCGUCUAACUUCUUAGAGGGACAAGUGGCGUUCAGCCACGCGAGAAUGAGCAAUAA